rnacentral:rRNA from 1 species
UACGUAGGGACCAAGCGUUGUUCGGAUUUACUGGGCGUAAAGGGCGCGUAGGCGGCGUGGUAAGUCACUUGUGAAAUCUCUGAGCUUAACUCAGAACGGCCAAGUGAUACUGCUGUGCUAGAGUGCAGAAGGGGCAAUCGGAAUUCUUGGUGUAGCGGUGAAAUGCGUAGAUAUCUGGAGGAACACCGGUGGCGAAGGCGGCAUCCUGGACCGGUAUUGACGCUGAGGCGCGAAAGCCAGGGGAGCAAACGGG